UGGUCGACCUGCAGCGCUCAGCCCGCAGGUACGCUCUCCUCCUUCCCUGUGCCCGACCUAGAGCGCGGCGGCAGCGGCCAGAUCCCGAGCGCGGCGGUAGCGUGUACCUCAUCGUUGUCAUCGGCAGCGACCGUGAAGGUCGCCCCAGCCAGCGUAAAUGAUGUAGAGGUGCCCCACGCGCGAAUCUCGUCCUCCUCCGGCCGCGAGACAUUCUCCAUGGCAGGCGGAGAUGAGACAGAGCGGAGGUGUGUUGUUGGUGUGCAGCUGGGCAUCUCCUCUCUCUCUCUAUCCAUUGUGCGGCUCCGUCAUGGGAUGACUCCAAGUCCACUGUCCACACCCUCCCGCUUUACAAGGGACUCCAAUUCAAGACCCUUCCUCUCUUAUUCCAUCUCUCUUUCUCUACUGUAGCCACUGGAGUAGCAAAUAUUAGACUUGGGAAGGAGGUGAUUCAUUGGCUAGCAGUGACCACAAAGAAGAAGUUGUGGCUGGCAUGUGAGCUGAGGUGGUUGUGAGGACAACUUGGAACUAUGAGCUUCAUUUUAUUUCCCAUAGUAGAUGUUGCUCUGGCGUGGGAAGCAGAGGGUGGCCUCCUGCUCAAUAGACAUGGGCAAGGUGGGAAUGUCGGUGCGGUCGACAACAACAGCAACAAUAGCUACGGCAGCAUCAACCGGUGCAAGGAUUGGCAGGGAGCCAGCAAGGGCAUUGAGGUGGACUCAUGGGGGGCAGUGGGAACUGCGAACGCUGAGGCGCACCACUGAAAUUUCUUAACAUUGGCUACUCUGUUUCAAUCCAUUAUUGUUCAAGAUUUCAGUGACUAUAUGGUGCCUCAACACCUUGAUUGGUUAACAUCCACGUCGACUGAGCCCUCCCAACACCUCGCAGAUCCGUCGGGUCAGGUUUAUUUUGCUAAACAAGAUAAAUGGGACAUUGGAUUAAACCAUAGUUUUGACCAAUUUUAGUGCUGGAUGAGUAGGGUGGCGAUCUGGCAACCACGAGCAGUGCAGCCACUCUGUCGACCAUGAGCUGAUCAAUUCCCUUGCAUAAAGUUUGUUUUCUUAUUUGAUUAGUGAAAUACCUGAUCGACAUGGGUUUUAUAAACUUUGAAAAGCACAAAAAACAAGAGGUCUACCAACACGGGUUGCUACUUUAUAUUUCUAUGUACAAAUUGCAAUAACGUAUCAAUUUACCCUCAAACUUCUAUUUUCUUUUUUUCCAGAAAUUAAUUGAGUACGAAGCCAGCAAAGUUGAUAUUGGGCCUAGAAGCUAGAACCCUAAUGUAUGUGUUUUAUGUGGCUCGAGUUCAGUUCUGGUGGCUGCAUGUCAGGAUCAAAAUUCCCUCUGAUGUUGCCUGCCAAUCUGAUGGUCGAAAAAUAUACGGGAAAAAACACAGUCACAGUGCCGAGUCAGUAGGGACAUGUUUUCAAAGAAGUAACAUUACCCCUGCAAGAUAUAAGGUACUGUGGACAUUCUUCUUCCCUUAGAUCUACGAUGUACGGUUUGUCAUAAGCAUGGCAUGGCUAUUUCAGUUCUCUUUGUAGCCAGGAAACUACUGUUACAACCGAACAGGAGCAUGGUUUCAUCGCCCUAACAUAGCUCCUUCUGAAUCUGAUGGAUACAUAUAGUUUUUUGGUGAUUCUUUAUCGUUUUAAGAGGCUGUCUAUUUCUAUUCAAGAAGUAACACUUGUGGUACCUCAGUUUAGCUUUUGUUCUCUUAUCGGAUUGUAUUAUAGACCUUGUUUACGUAGUUUAUAUAUGCUCGAUUGUUUCUGCUGCGUUUAAUGUAUACAGAGGACCAGAACUGCUCCAUGUUUCUCCCUGUACUGGCUGGCUCCAGAUUUGUUAUUGUCGCAUCUUAUGUACACUUUCUCUCUGGAGUUAUGCCAGAGCUUCUCUUCACCCUAAAUACCUCACAAUCAGAAUCAUCACUAUCUUCAGCAGCUAUUUUUUCAGAAGAAUGUGUUUGAUCAAGUGCAGACAAAGCGUACGCAUUGAUGGUCGCAGUUUUAGGAGUAAAUGUAAUCUCAAGACAAGAGCUAGAGAAAAUGCAGUAGUAAUCAUUUCUACCUUACUUUUCCUUCCUUGUUAUCACAAGAAAGAUAGAUCAGCUCACUUUUGUUGCCUUAUCUGAAUAUGGUACUGCUCUCUGUUGCCAUUAAGUCAAAAUGCAUAUCAAUGAUAUGGCAUGUUGUAAAACUGAUCAUGAAAACACAAGUAAAAUUUAAAUAAUAUUAUUGAAUUUAAUCUCAAAUUUUAGUGAUGCCUUGUCUCUCUUCUUCGAGUACUGAAUCUUAAUAUUAGGUAUGAGCUUGUUUGCUGAAGCUUGUUGCCUACACUGAAUAGGGAGGAACUAGCCCUGAAGCAAUGCGUUAUUGCUGAAGACAUGCAGUAUAAUAUCAUGGCUCAGUUUGAUGCUUUAGAUACGGAGGUUGUCAUCUUACUGAAAAUUGUUGUCUGAGAGCUACCUCGGGUGGUACAUUUACUGCUCGAUUAUCGUCCUCUACUGUGAGUAAGCUUUAGGAUCUGAUGUUGGUUUUAUACUAAAAUGGUGUAGCCACCUUGCUCUUAUGCUUAGCUAGAUGUGCUUAGGUCUUCUUGCAGCCUACUUUUUCUUUUAGUUUUACUUGCUGAUCUUUACUUCACAUGGGCUCAAGUAUUUUCUUUCUUGAUGUGUUGGACAAGUAGGCACCAAAUUUUAACCGGGUUGUCUAUUUUUUGUAUUCCCACUGUGACUGCUUGGAGGAAAUUAUUAGUUCAGAUUAGCUAAUGCAAUAUUUGCAAUAUUUGUGCUUAUUACUGCAAGUAUUUUGUUGCUUUGCAUUAUUAGGGCCUAUUAUUAGUUUUGCCACUGUAUUCUGUCGCUUUGGUAUAAUUCAUAGAUUGUCAUGCUUGAUUUCCUAUAUUUAUGGAAGGGUAUCAGUUGUACACUCAUGUUUUGUGUCUUUAAAUUUGAAUGCCAGAAGUUGCUGUAAUUGUGCUAAUCAACUUAGCAGUCAGCACCCCAUCUAAAGGUAGAAACCAUUCAACAUGAUGAAUUCUUGGUCAUCUCUCGGUAUGCUAGCUCACAUACUUAAGAUUGCUCACCCUCCAGUGCAAGUGUUGUCAGUAGUGGUUCCAGACAUGAUGUCAACCGUUUAGGGGGAAGGACGUGUAGUAAGUGCUCUGUUCUUUGUACUUUGUGAUGGUGCAAAUGGUUGCAGUCAAUCAAUGUGCUGAAGACUAUCCUCUCUAUCUCUGUUCUCUGUACUUUGUGUUGUUGUAUAUAGUUGCAGUCAGUCAAUUUGUUGAAGACUGCCCUCUCUUUUCAUGUUUUCACAUUGCUUCUUAUCAGUUUAAUUAGUUUGCUCAGCAAUGACCUAUUGUUCGUCUGUAAUUUUUCCUUCCUGUGACGUCUCAAUUUUCAUUUAUUCAUCAGCCUACCAAAGACAAACUUCAGUAAAAUGGGGAAGCUAAAAAUAAGAUUCAUGCAACUCCAAAGUUUGUUGCGCUCCAUCACUUCCGCCUCUGACUUCUCUGUUUUUCUUCUUUUGUAAGCAACCAAUAACUCUGUCAGUCCCUUCCGCCUCUGACUUCUCUGUUUUUCUUCUUUUGUCAGCAACCAACAACUCCAGAAUUAGCAAGACCAGCGGCUGACACAAAUAAUUGAGUAUCAGAUAAUGGAGAUCCAAAAAUGUUCCGGCUUACCUCAUAAGAGUAAAAUCUACUCAUUUCCAUGGUUUUUGAGUCACGACUCAAAAGUGAGUCGUCGAGGUUGUGAAUCAGUGUAUAGUCGACUAAAGUCAUUGUAUAAUCGCGAGUCGCCGUGAUUUUUGGAGAAUAACUGGCAACUAUUUAGCGUCUAUACAGCGACUAAAAAACCAUGCUCCUUCCAAUAACUAAGAGUAUGAGAUUCAGAAUUUUAUGCAA